UACAGAGGCCUCGAGCGUUAGGCGGAAUCACUGGGCUUAAAGCGUGUGUAGGCGGACUUCUAAGUACCUUGUGAAAUCCCACGGCUCACCCGUGGAACUGCUGGGUAUACUGGUCGUCUUGAGCCUUCUAGGGGCUACCGGAACAAAUGGUGGAGCGGUGAAAUGCGUAGAUAUCAUUGGAACGCCAAUGGUGAAAACAGGUAGCUGGGGAAGUGCUGACGCUGAGAACACGAAAGCCAGGGAGGCGAACGGG
rnacentral:rRNA from 1 species